ensembl:lncRNA
AUGGAUUCAACAGAAGACGACACAUAUGCUCGGGUUUUGUUGAGGGGAAUUCUGCACACAGUUAUGAAGAUCUCCUGUAACCAGAAGUGCAACAAAUAUACUUCAGAGCAUGAGGCUGAAAAACACCCCGGACUGGAGAGUACUGGAUCUGCCUUACAACACAAACUCAAGAAGAAGCUCCAUGAGAGUGCCUCCCUGUCAUCCCUCCCUUCACCUAAACGGCCAAGGUCAGCCGUGCCAAAGACAUACCCCUCUGGUACGGUCCCAUCCCCAGUGUAUGAUGAUGAGGACAUGACCCCUCGUGGCCUGCUCAUUGGGAUCAUUCAGAUGGAGAACAAAGCAUCGCUGCUGAUGUCUGGUCAGCCUGCACUUCAAGAAUCAGAGCUGAAUCCAGCCGACACCGGUGUGUCCAGCGCUGGAGAGAGAACGUCAGUAAUCCUCUUCAUGUUGUGCUCAUGUGUCUGUGUUUUCCUCAGUGGAGCUCUGUCUGGAGUGGAGCGGUCUGAUCUGACUCUGAACACUGAACUCCUGACGCAUGUAGUCAGAGGACCGAGCCGCAGGAAACCACCACAUGCCUUCAGUGCAUCAGCGUUCGAGAAACUGUUAGAUCAACAGCUAGGUGCUCACCCAUUCUCACCUGUUAUUUGUGUUCGCAAGAUUCUCACCUGUCAUUUGUGUUCGCAAGGUGGAAUAUUGGCACAUAUUUUGUCACAUGUUCAAAAAGCCACUCAGUAUCAUCUAACCCUUUUUCCAUAUUCUCAGACAACACAGAGGAUGACUCGCAUGUCUCUCAUAAAAGUUACAUCUCUGAGAAGAAAGCGGAUGCAUCUCAAGAUUUAG